CGCACCUUGCGCCCUUUGGUAUUCCGAAGGGCAUGCCUGUUUGAGUGUCAUUAAAUUCUCAACCUUUGAAUUGCUUUAUCGCGUUCAAGGGCUUGGAUGUGAGGGUUUUUGCUGGCUUCCUUAAGUGCGAUGGUCAGCUCCCUUGAAAUGCAUUAGUGGAAUCCUUUGUGGAUUGAGUGUAAUAAUCAUUUGCGCUCAUUGAAGCAAUCUCUAUGGAAUCUGCUUAUAACCGUCCUUCAGUUGGACAAUCUCUUAAUGACAAUUUGACCUCAAAUCAGGUAGGACUACCCGCUGAACUUAA
rnacentral:misc_RNA from 1 species